AGUUAUUAACUUACUUUAAUUAUUUAUUUAAUUAUCUCAGAAAUAUCUUUAUUAUUUAGUAUAUAAAAGAAAAAUUAUUUUUAGUUAUAGAUUAUUAGUACUGUGAAGGAAUAUUGAAAUAGAUUGAAAAUUUAAUUUUAGUUAAGUAUGUUUAAUUUACAGUACCUUUUGUAUCAGGGUUAAUUAAAUAUUUUAAAUAUAUAUUUUAUUUCUCGAUUUCAGNNNNNNNUAAUUUAUUAAUUUAUUUAUUGUUAUAUAACUAUUAAUAAUAUAAAUUAGGAGGGAAACCCUAUUCGUUUUUGAAGGUAUCUAGUUUUUUAAGAAAUGAAUUUAAUUUAACUUCAUUAUUUAAAUUUUAAAAUAUUAUUAUUAUUUAUUUAUUGGAUUAAAAUUUAUAGGGGAUAAGCUCUAUAAAUUACUAAAAAUGUUUUUUUUAAUCAAUUUAUAUAGGGUUAAAAUUAUCCAUUAUUAUUAGGUGUGUUAUAAUUUAUAUUGAUUAUUAAUAGAUUUAUUUAUUUUUAGUUUUUUAUUAAAAUGUUAAAAUUAACUUUAUAUUUAUUGAAAUAAUGAUUAAAUUAGUAUAAUUAUUUUGUUUUUUAUGAAUGAAAUUAUAUAAUAAGAUAAGGAACUCGGCAAAUAUAAUACUCGCCUGUUUAACAAAAACAUGUCUUUUUGAAAUUUAAUAGAAAGUCUGACCUGCCCAGUGAUUAAUUUAACGGCCGCGGUAUACUGACCGUGCAAAGGUAGCAUAAUCAUUAGUCUUUUAAAAGAGGGCUGGAAUGAAAGGUUUGACGAAGUAUUAACUGUCUCAUCUUAUUUGAAAUUAAAACUUAACUUUUUAGUCAAAAGGCUUAAAUUUUAUUGGAAGACGAGAAGACCCUAUAGAGCUUUAUAUUAUUUAUUUUGAUUAAUUAUAUAUAAUUUUUAGUUAAAAUAUAUAUUAUUUUGUUGGGGUGACAAGAAAAUAAAAUUAACUUUUUUAACUAUUUAACAUUAAUAUAUGAUUAUUUGAUCCAUUAUUAUUGAUUAUUAGACUAAGUUACCUUAGGGAUAACAGCGUAAUCCUCCCCCAGAGUUCAUAUUUACGGGUAGGGCUUGCGACCUCGAUGUUGGAUUAAGAUAAUAAUUAGGUGUAGCCGCUUAUUUUAUAGGUCUGUUCGACCUUUAAAUUCUUACAU
rnacentral:rRNA from 1 species